rnacentral:rRNA from 1 species
UACGGAGGGUGCGAGCGUUGUCCGGAAUCACUGGGCGUAAAGGGCGCGUAGGCGGCGCGGGAAGUCAUCGGUGAAAGUUCAGGGCUCAACUCUGAAUCGGCCGGUGAUACUCUCGUGCUUGAGCACUGUAGAGGCAGGUGGAAUUCCGGGUGUAGCGGUGGAAUGCGCAGAUAUCAGGAGGAACACCGGUGGCGAAGGCGGGUCUCUGGGCAGUAACUGACGCUGAGGAGCGAAAGCGUGGGGAGCGAACAGG